AAAAACAGGACUUGCAGAUAAUGACACUGAACACUGUAUUUUUUUUAAAUGUAAUUGUCUUAAAGACAGGGGGAAAGGGAGACUGACUGGGAACUUCAGUACAUGGGCACCCCAGCUUUUCUUUUUUGCCUCAUAUAUCCUGGCCUGGGUGCCAGACAGGUUGCCAGAUACGCCAAUGGGCACAGAGGAACGUCCAGCAGAAUCCAGCUUCUCUAGGCAAGGCACCAGGAAAGAGGCAGCCUGGCAAGACAGAACGCUUUUCAACACGACUGCUCUGCUGCAGCCAAAUACCACAAAGAGAAACGGCCCCAACUCAGCCAGGCCAGUUCGGCCUGAGUGACAAACCUAAAUUCCCACUCUGGUCAGGAUAUGAGUGAAUCUUGAUCCUGAGACUGAAGUCUAGCAAACUGUCACCAUCCCAAGCGCGGGCAAGGAAAUGAUAAGAAGUUCUCUGGAGGCAGCUUCAAGUGGCAGAUGCAUGUUUUGCUCCUUCUUGCUCAUCUAUCCUAAAAGUCAAUUAUGGGAACAACAACAACAACAAAAAGCAGUUCAAACUCAUGUGUCUUCUCCAAGGAAGAU